rnacentral:lncRNA from 1 species
AGGUGCCCAGCCCAGAGGCAGCCCCCAGGCUGCAGGCUUUGACUCUCAGCCUGGCAGAGCAUGUAUGCAACCUGGAGAGGCGGCUGGCAGCCACAGAAGAGACCGCCAUUAGCCCCAGGAAGAGCACCCAGCCAGCAGGCACUCAGUUCUUACCAGAACUUGAUCACCAGAGAGGCAGCUCUGGGUCUGGGGUCAGGAGACGGUGUCCAGGGGAGUCUCUCGUCAACCCUGGUUUCAAAAGAAACCAGCUGGUGGUGUAGACUUCGAUGAGACCUGAAGCUAGCAAAGCCUGUGUGACCUUGCCAGGAGUCUGUCUGCAAGGAAAGGGGACAUCUAGGACCCCUAACCAGAGACACCCUUUGCUUCACUUCCCCUGUGGUCCUGCUGAUGGGCAAAAGUACCUCUCAUCCCUUCCCCAUCAAAUAAACUGCUCCCUUGGGGAGAGAUGCUAGGCC